UGGGAGGGCCAAAUCUGGUGCCAGCAGCCGCGGUAACUCCAGCUCCAGAAGCGUAUAUUAAAGUUGUUGCAGUUAAAAAGCUCGUAGUUGGAUCUGGGUCGCAUGGCUACAUGCCGUUCUCGUUUUCGGUCCGGUCUCGAUCGGUCGAAUUUGGGUCGGUGUCGGUUGUGCAGCCUUUCUGCCGUGUCUGUUUCGGCAGGUGUUGACUGUAUCGGUGAGCUUGUCUUGCUGGUCUGUUGGCAUGCUUCCGUAUGCCUUUAAACGGGUGUCGGGGGCGGACGGCACGUUUACUUUGAACAAAUUUGAGUGCUCAAAGCAGGCCUAUGUGCCUGAAAAUUCUUGCAUGGAAUAAUGGAAUAGGACUUCGGUUCUAUUUUGUUGGUUUUCGGAUCCGAAGUAAUGGUUAAGAGGGACAGACGGGGGCAUUUGUAUGGA
rnacentral:rRNA from 1 species